GUGAUUCUCUUGCCUCAGCUCCUGAGUGGCUGGGAUUACAGCACGCAGAACCACCUUCUCCAUAGCUGGGCAGAGGGCAGAACUCCCAGCCAAAAUGACAGACCCAUGAGACAUAUGGAGCUCAACUGUUUCUAGAGGGAUCUGAGCCAUGUCCGCCGUGGUGCAGGCUUCAGCUUCCCCUCGAGAAGCCAAGUUCCAAGCCAUCCGCAAAAUGAUCACUCAGCAUCCACCGGACAGAUUGGUGGGGGCCGGUGGGGGGAGGAGGAAGGAGGAAGCAAAGAGACAACACCAGCACCACUCACUGGCUCUCUCACUCUCCGCAUUCAACAAGUCCGGAAGGAUUUGGUUGCCUGGUACAAAGCCUUUCAGGGAGAAAGUUUGAAAGGCCUUUGGAAAUGUUUAGAAGCUCUUCUAAGAUGGCAUUUUAAAAAUUACUUAUUUGGAUAAAAUAUGGCAUUUCAUAGUUCCAUUUUGAACAUAUUUGGAAUAAGUAAAGACAAAAAAGAAAGAAAAGAAACAGGAAUUUGGAUUCUCAGGGGAAGUGGACCGAGAUGCUCACCCUUCCCUGCUUCAGUGAGGCCUGGGGAGCCAUCAGGGGCCUGUGGACAUCGUUCUGGAUGAGUUUUGUUCAUUUUGCACGAGGUCUAAAAACAAAAGCAAAACAAUUGUGCUUUGAACCUGAAGGCAGCUCCUAUUUCUUUCUGUGCCGCUCCUCCCUCCUGCGUCCUGGAUCUGAGUGUGGGUUUCAUCUGCGGCUUAGCAGUGGCGCAUGCUGAGCGCGUCCUUUCAUCCGUCUGACCCUCAGUAUGCUCAGCUGUCUAGUGGGGAUGGUGAGAGCCCUGGCUCGCAGCUCAGAGACUGCUAUAGAACGGAAUGCGGUGAGGUUUGUGAAGCCGUCACUCAGAGCCAUGGCCAGCCACUUCUUAGCUGGGAUUACAGCUCCGGCAGUCUUGCCACUUCUGGUAACUGAUUGUGGAAUUGACCUUCAGAAGAAGACGUAUGGAGGGAAAGGGAACACAGAGGAGACACAACCCAAAACAGAAAUGUGAAAAUACGCCUCAGUUUUCUGUUGCAAUUAUUAGCGCAAUAGCUCAUACUGAGCCUCUGCCUCAAACUACAAAGCACUGUAACCCAUUAUCUCGGGCAUGUGUGUGCGUACAUGCACAAUCAUUCCUACUUUAUACACCAGGACACUCAGACUCAGAGAGGUGAACUUACUUGCCUGAGGAUCCACAGCUAGCUGGUUGAAUUGUACCUUAGACGCCAGCUUUCCCGGCUCCUUACUCCCGCCGAUCCCAGGACACCCCUGACAAGGGUGGCAGUCUGAUUUCCUGAAGACAGGAGCUCAGAGGAAGAUUAGUUUGCUUUAAAGGGGAAAAAAAAAGAAGCUGACAGUUUGGGGGCACUGGCAUUUUGGCUGCAGAUUUAUACAUGCGGCACAAGCCCUCAGGGAAUCGGCUUAGAAAUCCAAGGCGCAUUUGUCAGUUAAAUCCAAAGGGAGAGGAGAAAGAUCUUAGUCCCUGCCCUAGCGGUGCUCUGUGUGUUGUAGGAAAGGAAAGAUGUGGUCAUGGAGGCAACAGGGGAGCAGGGGACAGGGUGGGGUGGCGCCAAGACGGGCUGUCCUGAGAUGGAGGUGAGUGAGUGGUGGGUGGGACCCCGGGAGGCCAGGCUGUCUGCAGCUGGUGGCGCAGGCCUGAACUGGGCCAGAUGAGAGGAGAGCGCUGGAGACGGCUGCGGAGGGCCAGGCAGGCCCCCAGCCAGAAGUGGGGGCCUCUGCUUGGGCGGCAGCUCCCCCUCCCUUCCUCGUGGUUGGCUGCUGAAGUUCCAUGGCAACCCUCCUAGCCUGCACACGAUCCCCUGUGGGUGCAGCAAAAAACCUUAAGGAACUUUGGCUCAAUGAGAUCCUUAUUCACAGCUCAGAAGUCAAAACUUGAGUUUUGAGAGGGAUUGGGAGGAAGAGCUGCACUUUUAGACUCACUUGUCCUUACCUUG